CUGAAACCGUGCGCUUACAAGCGGUCGGAGCCCUUUAGUGGGGUGACGGCGUGCCUUUUGCAUAAUGAGCCUACGAGUUGUCGUUGUUGGCAAGGUUAACCCGUUCAGCGGGGUAGCCGGAGCGAAAGCGAGUCUUAACAGGGCGCAUAGUCAGGGGAGGUAGACGCGAAACUUGGUGAUCUACCCAUGACCAGGUUGAAGUUGCGGUAACACGCAAUGGAGGACCGAACCAGUAGACGUUGAAAAGUCUUUGGAUGAGUUGUGGGUAGGGGUGAAAGGCCAAUCAAACUGAGAAAUAGCUCGUACUCUCCGAAAUGUUUUUAGGAACAGCCUCGGAGGAUGUCUGCUAGAGGUAGAGCUACCAAUAGGACUAGGGGGAGUCAAAUCCUACCAAAUCCUGAUGAACUCCGAAUGCUAGUAGAUUACUCCGGGAGUGAGGGCUAGGGUGCUAAGGUCCUGGUCCGAGAGGGAAAGAACCCAGACCGUCAGCUAAGGUCCCUAAAUCUAUACUAAGUUGAACUAAGGAGGUCCAGUUGCAGAGACAGCCAGGAGGUUGGCUUGGAAGCAGCCAUUCCUUCAAAGAGUGCGUAACAGCUCACUGGUCGAGCGACAGGGCAUCGAUAAUAAACGGGCAUUAAGUAUAGUACCGAAGCUACGGACCCGCAAGGGUGGUAGGAGAGCAUUCCUAUGGCGGUGAAGGUGAUCUGUGAGGAUUGCUGGAGCGAUGGGAAAAGAAAAUGUAGGCAUAAGUAACGA
rnacentral:rRNA from 1 species